UGGGCGUAAAGAGCUCGUAGGUGGUUUGUCGCGUUGUUCGUGAAAUCUCACGGCUUAACUGUGAGCGUGCGGGCGAUACGGGCAGACUUGAGUACUGCAGGGGAGACUGGAAUUCCUGGUGUAGCGGUGGAAUGCGCAGAUAUCAGGAGGAACACCGGUGGCGAAGGCGGGUCUCUGGGCAGUAACUGACGCUGAGGAGCGAAAGCGUGGGGAGCGAACAGGAUUAGAUACCCUGGUAGUCCACGCCGUAAACGGUGGGUACUAGGUGUGGGUUUCCUUCCUUGGGAUCCGUGCCGUAGCUAACGCAUUAAGUACCCCGCCUGGGGAGUACGGCCGCAAGGCUAAAACUCAAAGAAAUUGACGGGGGCCCGCACAAGCGGCGGAGCAUGUGGAUUAAUUCGAUGCAACGCGAAGAACCUUACCUGGGUUUGACAUGCACAGGACGCCGGCAGAGAUGUCGGUUCCCUUGUGGCCUGUGUGCAGGUGGUGCAUGGCUGUCGUCAGCUCGUGUCGUGAGAUGUUGGGUUAAGUCCCGCAACGAGCGCAACCCCCGUUGUUAGUUGCCAUCAGGUAAUGCUGGGCACUCUAGCGAGACUGCCGGUGACAAACCNGGAGGAAGGUGGGGACGACGUCAAGUCAUCAUGCCCCUUAUGUCCUGGGCUACACACGUGUUACAAUGGCUAGGACAAUGCGAUGCAAUCCCGCGAGGGGGAGCGAACCGCCAAACCUAGUCUCAGUUCGGAUCGCAGGCUGCAACUCGCCUGCGUGAAGUCGGAAUCGCUAG
rnacentral:rRNA from 1 species